rnacentral:rRNA from 1 species
AUUGAACGCUGGCGGAAUGCUUUACACAUGCAUGUCGAACGGUAGAGGGGGCAACCCCUCGAGAGUGGCGAACGGGUGAGUAAUAUAUCGGAACGUGCCCAGUCGUGGGGGAUAACGUAGCGAAAGUUACGCUAAUACCGCAUACGAUCUAAGGAUGAAAGCGGGGGCUCGCAAGACCUCGCGCGAUUGGAGCGGCCGAUAUCAGAUUAGGUAGUUGGUGGGGUAAAGGCUCACUAAGCCAACGAUCUGUAGCUGGUCUGAGAGGACGACCAGCCACACUGGAACUGAGACACGGUCCAGACUCCUACGGGAGGCAGCAGUGGGGAAUUUUGGACAAUGGACGCAAGUCUGAUCCAGCCAUUCCGCGUGCAGGAUGAAGGCCCUCGGGUUGUAAACUGCUUUUGUACGGAACGAAAAGGCCUCUCUUAAUACGGGGGACUCAUGACGGUACCGUAAGAAUAAGCACCGGCUAACUACGUGCCAGCCGCCGCCGUAAAAC